AGAGUUUGAUCAUGGCUCAGAACGAACGUUAGCGGCGCGCCUAACACAUGCAAGUCGAACGAGAAGGGGCUUCGGCCCUGGUAAAGUGGCGCACGGGUGAGUAACACGUGGGCAACGUUCCCUCAGGCAGGGGAUAACCUUCCGAAAGGAGGGCUAAUACCGUAUAUGACCACGGCCUCGAAAGGGGCUGAGGUGAAAGC
rnacentral:rRNA from 1 species